GCCGAGGUGGUGGAAUUGGCAGACACGCUAUCUUGAGGGGGUAGUGCCUAUUAUAGGCAUGCGGGUUCAAGCCCCGCUCUCGGCA
rnacentral:tRNA from 1 species